GACGAACGCUGGCGGCGUGCCUAAUACAUGCAAGUAGAACGCCGUUGCGAACGGGUGAGUAACGCGUAGGUAACUGCCUCAUAGCGGGGGAUCACUAUUGGAAACGAUAGCUAAUACCGCAUACUGUGAGAUGGACCUGCGUGGUAUUAGCUAUUUGGAUUGGUAAAGGCUCACCAAGGCGAGGAUACAUAGCCGACCUGAGAGGGGGAUCGGCAAAACUGAGAAUGAGAGACGGCCCAGAAUCCUACGGUAGGCAGCAGUAGGUAAUCGUCAGAAAGUGAAGGAAGUCUGACCGAGCAACGCGGCGUGAGUGAAGAAGGUUGUCGGAUAGUAAAGCUCCGUUGUUAGAGAAGCGGUAACGAACCAGAAAGGGACGGGUAACUACGGGCCAGCAGCCGAGGUAAAAC
rnacentral:rRNA from 1 species